AGGGCUCCGGGCGGCCGUGACCCUGCUGGAGUCCGGGGGGGACCUCCAGCCCCCCGGGGGGUCCCUGCGCCUCCUCUGCCGAGGCUCCGGGUUCAAUUUCGGCAGUUUUGGGAUGGCCUGGAUCCGCCAGCGACCCAGGAAGGCGAUGGAAAACAUCGCGGAAAUCAGCAGCAGUGGCAGCACCUGGUACGCAGAUUUCGUCAAGGGCCAGUUCACGAUCUCCAGGGACAACGGGCAGAGCUCGGUGACGCUGACCAUGAACAACCUCAAGGACGAGGAUUCCGGAUCCUAUUUCUGUGCCAAACGUGUUGAUGGUUAUGCUGGCACGGCUGUUGCUGCUAUUUUUCGCAACAAUUCUGGCCCCACCUCCAUG